rnacentral:lncRNA from 1 species
UCCUUUGUAGUUUAGCGACGUUUCGGUCGUUUGAAAUUUGGGUUUAGUUUAGCGACUUUUCAGUCGAUAUCGGAUUUAGAUUUAGUUUAACGACGUUUCGGUCGGUUGAUUUGGUGGAUUAGUUUAACGACGUUUCGGUCGGUUGAUUUGGUGGAUUAGUUUAACGACGUUUCGGUCGGAGGUUUGGUGGAUUAGUUUAACGACGUUUCGGUCGGAGGUUUGGUGGAUUAGUUUAACGACGUUUCGGUCGAAGGUUUGGGUUUGGUUCACAAGGUUUAUGGUAUUGGGUAUAUGGGAUUAUGGUUCAUGAACUUAGAUAUGGUUCAUGGACUUAUGGUUCAUGAACUUAUGGUUCAUGGGUUUAUGGUUCAUGGGUUUGUGGUUCAUGGACUUGGUGUAUGGGUUUAUGAUUCAUGGACUUGGUGUAUGGGUUGUGGUUUAUGAUCCUUGGCUCAUGAACUUGAUUUGAUUCUUGAACUUGAUUCAUAGUUCGUGGAUUUGGUGUAUGGUAUGGUCCAUGGUUUUGGUUCAAAGUUCAUGAACUUGGUUAAGGUUAUGGGCUUGGAUAUGGGUUAAAUGUGUAUGGGUUCAUGGGUAAAUGUAUAUAGGUUUAUGUAUAUGGGUUUAUGGGUUAAUGGUUUUAAUGAGUUUUGGAUAAUGGGUUUAGAUAGAGGGCCCAAAUGGGUUUUGGACCGGGG